UACGGGGGGGGCAAGCGUUGUUCGGAAUUACUGGGCGUAAAGGGCUCGUAGGCGGCCAACUAAGUCAGACGUGAAAUCCCUCGGCUUAACCGGGGAACUGCGUCUGAUACUGGAUGGCUUGAGUUUGGGAGAGGGAUGCGGAAUUCCAGGUGUAGCGGUGAAAUGCGUAGAUAUCUGGAGGAACACCGGUGGCGAAGGCGGCAUCCUGGACCAACACUGACGCUGAGGCGCGAAAGCGUGGGGAGCGAACGGG
rnacentral:rRNA from 1 species